UGGGGAAUUUUGGACAAUGGGCGAAAGCCUGAUCCAGCAAUGCCGCGUGUGUGAAGAAGGCCUUCGGGUUGUAAAGCACUUUUGUCCGGAAAGAAAUCCUUGGCUCUAAUACAGUCGGGGGAUGACGGUACCGGAAGAAUAAGCACCGGCUAACUACGUGCCAGCAGCCGCGGUAAUACGUAGGGUGCAAGCGUUAAUCGGAAUUACUGGGCGUAAAGCGUGCGCAGGCGGUUUGCUAAGACCGAUGUGAAAUCCCCGGGCUCAACCUGGGAACUGCAUUGGUGACUGGCAGGCUAGAGUAUGGCAGAGGGGGGUAGAAUUCCACGUNUAGCAGUGAAAUGCGUAGAGAUGUGGAGGAAUACCGAUGGCGAAGGCAGCCCCCUGGGCCAAUACUGACGCUCAUGCACGAAAGCGUGGGGAGCAAACAGGAUUAGAUACCCUGGUAGUCCACGCCCUAAAACGAUGUCAACUAGUUGUUGGGGAUUCAUUUCCUUAGUAACGUAGCUAACGCGUGAAGUUGACCGCCUGGGGAGUACGGUCGCAAGAUUAAAACUCAAAGGAAUUGACGGGGUCAUAGCUGUUUCC
rnacentral:rRNA from 1 species